rnacentral:rRNA from 1 species
UCGGGAAUUUUGGGCAAUGGGCGCAAGCCUGAUCCAGCCAUGCCGCGUGAGUGAUGAAGGCCCUAGGGUUGUAAAGCUCUUUCACCGGUGAAGAUAAUGACGGUAACCGGAGAAGAAGCCCCGGCUAACUUCGUGCCAGCAGCCGCGGUAAUACGAAGGGGGCUAGCGUUGUUCGGAUUUACUGGGCGUAAAGCGCACGUAGGCGGACUUUUAAGUCAGGGGUGAAAUCCCGGGGCUCAACCCCGGAACUGCCUUUGAUACUGGAAGUCUUGAAUAUGGUAGAGGUGAGUGGAAUUCCGAGUGUAGAGGUGAAAUUCGUGGAUAUUCGGAGGAACACCAGUGGCGAAGGCGGCUCACUGGACCAUUACUGACGCUGAGGUGCGAAAGCGUGGGGAGCAAACAGGAUUAGAUACCCCCGUAGUCCCUGAGCGGGCUGGCAAGGCGCAU